GCAUUUCUCUAGAUUUGCGAAAGUAAAACUGACUAUAUAGUCCAACAGAAUAUUUAUAUACAUAUAGAAAACGAAUUUACUACACCCACUGAAUUGAUCGGUGCAUACUUCAUACAAAAGUUACAAUAUUAAAUCUUAAACUUUGAAAUGGUCAAUAUCGAUAUUAUAGGCAUACUGACCGUAUAGGUACUGCUUGCUAUAUGUAGAUUGAUAAUCUAUACAUUUAAUAAACAAUUCGAUAACGAAAACAAUAAUAAUUCAAUACCUAUAACGCAUUCUGGGUUUUUACGUUUCUUAUUAACUUAAUUUUUUAUUAUUACUAUAGUAGCAUAAAUGCAUAAUAAACAAAUAAAAAAUUCUACACCUGAAAUAACUGAAAAACGCUAAAAGAGUUAUUUUUAAACCUACAAAAAAGCCAAAAUAAAUUGGUUUAUUUGGAAUCAGAACGACGUAGAACGAAUUUAUUUAUAAAAAUUAGAAUUCUAUCUCAUAUAUAAAAAAAAGAAACGUAUGCUUUAAAAUCCGAGCCCUAAUAUGUAAAUCCCAAACUAUAGGUCCAACCACUCCAGGAUCUUGGCCACUAAUACUUUCGUGUCUUGACAUAUUAUCAACAACCCUAUAUAAUACUCGCAGCUGUUACCAAUGAAUUCAUUUCUAUUGUUAUUGUAUUAAGUUAUUUAAUAUUCAAUUGAAAAAUAAAUAGUUGUUGAGCAACUGGCUUGCACAAAAUUAUAAUGAUAUACGAAGAAAAUAAGCCGAAUCAUGCAAUUAUACCAUAUAACUUAAUUACAUAUGUACAAAAUGAUAUUAAAAUAUAUCAAACAAAUAACUAUUAAA